rnacentral:rRNA from 2 species
GUGCCUAAUACAUGCAAGUCGAGCGAACAGAUGAGAAGCUUGCUUCUCUGAUGUUAGCGGCGGACGGGUGAGUAACACGUGGGUAACCUACCUAUAAGACUGGGAUAACUCCGGGAAACCGGGGCUAAUACCGGAUAAUAUUUUGAACCGCAUGGUUCAAUAGUGAAAGACGGUUUCGGCUGUCACUUAUAGAUGGACCCGCGCCGUAUUAGCUAGUUGGUAAGGUAACGGCUUACCAAGGCGACGAUACGUAGCCGACCUGAGAGGGUGAUCGGCCACACUGGAACUGAGACACGGUCCAGACUCCUACGGGAGGCAGCAGUAGGGAAUCUUCCGCAAUGGGCGAAAGCCUGACGGAGCAACGCCGCGUGAGUGAUGAAGGUCUUCGGAUCGUAAAACUCUGUUGUUAGGGAAGAACAAAUUUGUUAGUAACUGAACAAGUCUUGACGGUACCUAACCAGAAAGCC